rnacentral:rRNA from 1 species
CCUACGGGAGGCAGCAGUGAGGAAUAUUGGUCAAUGGGCGUAAGUCUGAACCAGCCAAGCCGCGUGAGGGAUGAAGGUUCUAUGGAUCGUAAACCGCUUUUAUACGGGAGUAAACUGUGAUACGUGUCCUAUUUUGUAAGUACCUUAUGAAUAAGGAUCGGCUAACUCCGUGCCAGCAGCCGCGGUAAUACGGAGGAUCCGAGCGUUAUCCGGAUUUAUUGGGUUUAAAGGGUGCGUAGGCGGCUUUUUAAGUUAGAGGUGAAAGGCCGGGGCUCAACCACAGAAUUGCCUUCAAAACUGGGGGGCUUGAGUAUGUUUGAGGUAGGCGGAAUGUGUGGUGUAGCGGUGAAAUGCUUAGAGAUCACACAGAACACCGAGUGCGAAGGCAGCCUACCAAGCCAUGACUGACGCUGAGGCACGAAAGCGUGGGGAUCAAACAGGAUUAGAUACCCCAGUAGUC